rnacentral:lncRNA from 1 species
AUGGAGGGAAGACGACUUCUUCCCACAAGAAGGUUCCCUUCUACUCGAGUGGACUGGAGCCCUGAGCUUAUUCCUCAAGGAAAUUUUCUCUCUGGAAGAAAUCCAAUCCUAUCAGACUCAGACAAAAGCCCUGUCACUGGGGUUGUGGGAAAAAGAAAAACCGUACACGGCAGCCCUAACUCUUGCAGAGAGAAUAUGUUAAAUCAUAAAGCAAGAUCAUAUAUGAUCGCAUCUCAAAGUGUGCAAAACAGCAGUAGUGAGGGGGUGGAUUCAGAGGAAGAAGGAGGAAGUACCGACGGGGGAGGCAGGAAAAGAAAUGCCAUCCUGGAUCAGAGCUGUGAACGUCAAAGGAGAGGGGUGAUCCUCACCUCUGGAGAUGAGAGACUGGAAGAGAAUGCCUGUGAAGUGAGAAGCGCCUUUUCCUCUUCUUGAGAUGCGUGAUCCCACCACACCUGUUAAAAUCCCCCUGAAGAAUUAAAAGUUGCUGCCUC